rnacentral:rRNA from 1 species
CAGCAGCCGCGGUAAAACGUAGGGUGCAAGCGUUAAUCGGAAUUACUGGGCGUAAAGCGUGCGCAGGCGGUUAUAUAAGACAGAUGUGAAAUCCCCGGGCUCAACCUGGGAACUGCAUUUGUGACUGUAUAGCUAGAGUACGGCAGAGGGGGAUGGAAUUCCGCGUGUAGCAGUGAAAUGCGUAGAUAUGCGGAGGAACACCGAUGGCGAAGGCAAUCCCCUGGGCCUGUACUGACGCUCAUGCACGAAAGCGUGGGGAGCAAACAGGAUUAGAUACCCCAGUAGUCCCUGUCUUUAUACA